UUUUGUCAAAAGAAUUUUCUUUACAUAUUGAUGUAAUCAUAUGAUUUUUCUUUUCUAGUCUGUUAAUACAGUAGGUAAUGCUGAUUUUUGAAUGCUGAACCAGUCUUGUAUUCCUGAAAUUAAGCCCACUUGGUCAUGUAUGUAAUUCUUUUAUAUACUGCUGAAUUUGAUUUGCUAAUUUUGUCAAGAAUUUUUGCGUAUAUUCAUGAAGUACGUUCAUUGAUUUGUAGUUAUUAUUAUUAUUUUUCGUAUUGUCUUUGUCUGGUUUUGGUGUCCAGGUAAUACUAGUGUCAUAAAGUGAAUUGAGUCAAAUCAUUGUGUUGUACACCAAAACAAUGGUAUAUGUCAGGUACAUAUCAAACUUAGGAAGUUAAAAUUGAAAAAUACCAAAAAAAUGAAUUGGGAAGUAUACCCUCCUUUUCUGUUUUUUGGAAGAUAUUGUAUGUAGAAUUGUUGUUAACUCUUCUUUAAGUGUUUGGUAGAAUUCUCCAGUAAAGUCAUCUGGACCUGUAGAUUUGGGAGGGGUGUUAACCAAAAGUUUAAUUUCUUUAACAGCUGUAGGGACACUAAGAAUAAUUAAUGUUAGAUGAGUUGUGGUAGUUUUUGUUUUUCAAGGAAUUGGUCCAUCUAAUCCAAGUUGUCAAGUUCAUAUGUGUGGAGUUGUUUGUAAUUGCUGUCAUCUGAAUGUUUGCAUAUCCCCCCAAAUCAUAUGUUGAAACCCUAAUGCCCAAUGGAAUGGCAUUGAGAGGUGGUGUCUUUGGGAGGCGAUUGGGUUGUGACAGAAAAGGUUUCAUGAAUGAGGAUAGUACCCGGAUAAGAAGCUCUAGAAGCAUCCACUGCCCUCUUCCACCAUGUGAGGACACUGCCAGGACCUCCCAGCCUCCACAACUAUGUUGCAUCUCUGGCCAGCUGACUUCAUUUGCUCCAAGUCUGGGACAUCUGAAACGUCAAAGAAAAUCCAGGCAACUGGGCCACCGUGUUGUUGCUCAGAUCCCUGGCUGCGGUUUUCAUAAACAAUGCAUUGGCCUACACCAAGGAUUAUUAGGUGUUUCACAGCACAGGUGUGAGACUUCUUGACAUCUCCAGUGUUAGUCAUCAUUGACUCAGUGAUCCUUGUGCAAUGGCCUCCAUAUUUUUUGGGUUCCACUCAUUCUUUGCAGUCCUGUGCUUAGAGGAGAUAAAUCCUGGUAAGGCCCUUUCUCCUAGCCAGUGAUCGGUUUAGAGAUGUGACUAUCAACCAGUUUGGCCAAGGAAACAUGGGAAAUAUGCUGGAGGAACUUCUGGGAAGAUUUUCCCUGCUUUCAAAAACGACACAGGAGGGAGGGAAUCAUCUGUUCUUCUGAACAUUGUGACUGAAUGUGACCCUUGAACUACUCAUGGAUAAGCAGAAGAUGGAAAGGACAGACCUGAUGACAAUACUGAGCUGCUGAAUUUGGAAUGAAAUUGGGGGCUGCCCUACACCCAGACUUGUUGGGGAGAUGUUACAUCUCCCUCUGUUGAGGCCUUUUGGGUCAAGAUUCUUUAUUACUUGCAACUGAAAAGGUCCUGUUAAAAUAGUAUUAUAUUACAGCAGCCUUGGCUUACGUAACA